rnacentral:rRNA from 1 species
UACGGAGGGUGCGAGCGUUGUCCGGAAUCACUGGGCUUAAAGGGCGCGUAGGCGGGCGAGCGAGUCCGGGGUGAAAGCGCCCGGCUUAACCGGGCAAGGGCCUCGGAGACCGCUCGUCUUGAGGGAGGUAGGGGCAGGCGGAACUUCCGGUGGAGCGGUGAAAUGCGUUGAUAUCGGAAGGAACGCCGGUGGCGAAAGCGGCCUGCUGGACCUCUACUGACGCUGAGGCGCGAAAGCCAGGGGAGCGAACGGG